rnacentral:lncRNA from 1 species
AGGGCGAAACAAUUCAGUUAAAGUGCAGUAUUUUUAAGAUAAAGUAAAAUGGUAUACUGUUUCUUCAACAGAAAGGUGAGUAGGUCAGCCAUUAUGUUAAUGCUUACAGGCAAUAGAAUUGAUAAAAAUUUACAACAGUAAUUUAUCCUUUUGGAAAGGGCUGUUUCUCCACACAUCAUUAGGAUUUAAGGAAUUUUUCUGUCAACCGGCUACAGAAUUUACUUUUAGUAUAAUACUUGGAUUGUGGAAAUUUUUAGCUCUCUGCUGACAUUCUUUGUGCUUGCAGUCUAUGAAAUCAUUUCAUAAAACUGCUGUAAAAUAAGAACCUUGACAUAUCUUCCGUGUGUUCAUUGCAGACCACUUUGCAUUAGCAACCAUGACAGGUUUUCCUUUCAGUGCACGGGCUGAUCUAUGUUUACAUGUCACCUGUAUGCCGUCUAGAUGUUUAUUAACAAGAUGAAAUACAAAAUAAAACAGCAAAGACGUGAAUGGCACCAGAAAGAAACUUAUCCAAAAACACACCUCAUAUUUUCCAACCAAAGUAGUCAUGUUUUAAAAGGGCAGUUUUCAGAGGCAGCACUACAGAAAUCUAAAGUAUAAAAUUUAUAGAAACUUAUCACAAAACAUUAGAAUAUCUAGUUGAACUCCGAGAAAAUGGCAUUCAGUUCAUCUGUUCUGUGAUCUCCAAAGACUCAAAAACCGGACUGUCUGACCGAAUUUUCUGCAAUGAGGGAAAUAUUCUCUGUAUGUGGUCCAGCGUGGCAGCAGCUAAUGGGCUACUGAGCACUUGAACAGGCGUGUAAAUUUUUAAAAUUUAAUAAAUAGGCAGAAGCUACUAUUACUAGGCAGCAUAGGUCUAUAAAGCAUAGUACAUAGCUUUCACUUCCCACUGCAGUCGUGGAGGUUGAAUUCCAUGAGACUUUUAUGCUAGCAAAUGUGGAUUUACAAUUACCUUUUAAUUCCUCUUAGGCCGUUGGAUUCUUGCCAGAAGCUUCCUGGAGAUAAUUUUAACUAGUACCUUAUUGAAGAAAAGUUGUCCUAGCUAAUGAAAGAAUGCAGCUCAGCAUCUUGAAGACGGGGCAAGCCUUCCUCAUCUCCCCACAUCCCACAGUUUCUUAUACCCACUGAAUUAAACUGAAAAAUGAA